UACGAGGGGGGCAAAUGUUGUUCGGAAUCACUGGGCGUAAAGGGAGCGUAGGCGGGUUCUUAAGUAAGGUGUUUAAUCCCGGGGCCCAACCCCGGACCGGCACUUUAAACUGGGAAUCUUGAAUAGUGGAGAGGUCGGUGGAAUUGGGGGUGUAGCGGUGGAAUGCGUAGAGAUCCCCAAGAACACCAGUUGCGAAGGCGGCCGACUGGACACAUAUUGACGCUGAGACACGAAAGCCAGGGGAGCGAACGGG
rnacentral:rRNA from 1 species